rnacentral:misc_RNA from 1 species
GUCGUUUCAAACCUUCAAGCCCAGCUUGGUGUUGGGUGUUUGUCCCGUCUCGUGCGCGGACUCGCCUUAAAAUCAUUGGCAGCAGACAUCGUGGCUAAUUGCGCAGCAGAUACGCGCCUGACGCUGGAUGUCGGCUCUCCACGAGCGUAGCCUCUUUUCAGUUUGACCUCGGAUCAGGUAGGGAUACCCGCUGAACUUAA